rnacentral:rRNA from 1 species
CCUACGGGUGGCAGCAGUGGGGAAUAUUGGACAAUGGGGGCAACCCUGAUCCAGCCAUGCCGCGUGUGUGAAGAAGGCCCUCGGGUUGUAAAGCACUUUCAGUGAGGAAGAACGCCUGGUGGUUAAUACCCAUCAGGAAAGCCAUCACUCACCGAAGAAGCACCGGCUAACUCCGUGCCAGCAGCCGCGGUAAUACGGAGGGUGCGAGCGUUAAUCGGAAUUACUGGGCGUAAAGCGCGCGUAGGUGGCUUGAUAAGCCGGUUGUGAAAGCCCCGGGCUCAACCUGGGAACGGCAUCCGGAACUGUCAAGCUAGAGUGCAGGAGAGGAAGGUAGAAUUCCCGGUGUAGCGGUGAAAUGCGUAGAGAUCGGGAGGAAUACCAGUGGCGAAGGCGGCCUUCUGGACUGACACUGACACUGAGGUGCGAAAGCGUGGGUAGCAAACAGGAUUAGAUACCCCUGUAGUC